rnacentral:lncRNA from 1 species
AUGGUGUGGCCCAGGAGGGUGCUCCUGACCUCCAGUCGCGAGUCUCUUCUCUCCUCCUGGGCCUGGCAGGUCGCCCUGAGUGGAGCCGAUUUGGGGGGCAUCUCAAGCAGGGCAGCUCCACGUGGCCGAAAGGACCGCCGCCGUCUGCGGCCGCCGACCAGAGAGCCCAGAGAGCGGGCGUGCCCUUCAGAGAGGCGAGGGGCGCCCCCGGGUUGGGCUUUGUGGGUGUCGGGGCUGCAUCUGCGCCAGCGUGGGAGCCUGGAGCGGGCGGGGGAGCCAGGCGGCCUGCAGACCGCCCAAGCCGGCGCUCCCCGUCCCGGCCCUCGGGGUGGGGUGCCCGAGGGCCCCUUUGAAGGGGGUGGGCGCGGCCGGCCCGGGAGAGCUUUAAGACGGCAGCCUCAGCUGUCUGCCAAGUGGGGCGCGGGACGGUCCCCAGAAGGCCUCCCAUGCACUCAGGGGGCAGUCGGGAGGACGCGGCACCUCGGGGAGGAUGGCCACAGCCUCUCGAGGGCUCUAGGGAGAGUGACCCCCGCCCCCCAGCGGGCGCGGCCCAGGUGGCAGCGCCUGGGCUGGGCUGCGCGGAGGAGGCGGCUUCUCCGCCAGGGGCGGUGGCAGGGGCGGCCCUGGGAUCACAUGGGCGGAGGCAGGUCCCGGAGCCCCGGGCGGGCUCUCCCCAGAGUCGGGCAGGCGGCGGCGGCGGCGGCAGCGGCAGCGGGAGCGGCGGCGUCUCCUCGCCCUCCUUCUUUCCUUCCCUUCCCUCCCGGGCCCGGCCGCUCAGCCCGACAGGUGAGCCGGAGCCAGGUGAGGGCGCCCUGCCUGGCCCGGGGCUCCCUCGGCGCCCCUCUCCGCGCCCGGACCUUGCCUCCGUCCGCAGCCCCUCUCUCUGCUGCCUCCCUCGCGGCUGGCGCCCCCCGCGGGCUGGGCUUUCCCGGUUCCCGGCGCUCCUCCUCCAGGCCCUGGCCCGCGGGUACUUUGGCCUCGGAGCGUAGAAGGCCCCAGAACUGGGAGAGCCGGGACGACGGGCUGGGCACCUGUCGGCGGCCCCCGGCGCGGAGUCCACUGACCGGCUCAAAGGUCUGA